rnacentral:misc_RNA from 1 species
GAUGAAGAACGCAGCGAAAUGCGAUAAGUAGUGUGAAUGGCAGAAUUCAGUGAAUCAUCGAAUCUUUGAACGCACAUUGCGCCCUUUGGUAUUCCUUAGGGCAUGCCUGUUCGAGCGUCAUUUAAACCUUCAAGCUCAGCUUGGUGUUGGGUGACUGUCCGCUUCACCGCGGACUCGCCUCAAAAUUAUUGGCGGCCGGUACAUUGGCUUCGAGCGCAGCAGAAACGCGAACUCGGGCCCGUCGUAUUGGCUCCCAGAAGCUAUCUUCACAAUUUUGACCUCGGAUCAGGUAGGGAUACCCGCUGAACUUAAGCAUAUCAAUAAGCGGAGGA